rnacentral:rRNA from 1 species
GAUGAACGCUGGCGGCGUGUCUAAUACAUGCAAGUCGAGCGAACGGACGAGAAGCUUGCUUCUCUGAUGUUAGCGGCGGACGGGUGAGUAACACGUGGAUAACCUACCUAUAAGACUGGGAUAACUUCGGGAAACCGGAGCUAAUACCGGAUAAUAUUUUGAACCGCAUGGUUCAAAAGUGAAAGACGGUCUUGCUGUCACUUAUAGAUGGAUCCGCGCUGCAUUAGCUAGUUGGUAAGGUAACGGCUUACCAAGGCAACGAUGCAUAGCCGACCUGAGAGGGUGAUCGGCCACACUGGAACUGAGACACGGUCCAGACUCCUACGGGAGGCAGCAGUAGGGAAUCUUCCGCAAUGGGCGAAAGCCUGACGGAGCAACGCCGCGUGAGUGAUGAAGGUCUUCGGAUCGUAAAACUCUGUUAUUAGGGAAGAACAUAUGUGUAAGUAACUGUGCACAUCUUGACGGUACCUAAUCAGAAAGCCACGGCUAACUACGUGCCAGCAGCCGCGGUAAUACGUAGGUGGCAAGCGUUAUCCGGAAUUAUUGGGCGUAAAGCGCGCGUAGGCGGUUUUUUAAGUCUGAUGUGAAAGCCCACGGCUCAACCGUGGAGGGUCAUUGGAAACUGGAAAACUUGAGUGCAGAAGAGGAAAGUGGAAUUCCAUGUGUAGCGGUGAAAUGCGCAGAGAUAUGGAGGAACACCAGUGGCGAAGGCGACUUUCUGGUCUGUAACUGACGCUGAUGUGCGAAAGCGUGGGGAUCAAACAGGAUUAGAUACCCUGGUAGUCCACGCCGUAAACGAUGAGUGCUAAGUGUUAGGGGGUUUCCGCCCCUUAGUGCUGCAGCUAACGCAUUAAGCACUCCGCCUGGGGAGUACGACCGCAAGGUUGAAACUCAAAGGAAUUGACGGGGACCCGCACAAGCGGUGGAGCAUGUGGUUUAAUUCGAAGCAACGCGAAGAACCUUACCAAAUCUUGACAUCCUUUGACAACUCUAGAGAUAGAGCUUUCCCCUUCGGGGGACAAAGUGACAGGUGGUGCAUGGUUGUCGUCAGCUCGUGUCGUGAGAUGUUGGGUUAAGUCCCGCAACGAGCGCAACCCUUAAGCUUAGUUGCCAUCAUUAAGUUGGGCACUCUAAGUUGACUGCCGGUGACAAACCGGAGGAAGGUGGGGAUGACGUCAAAUCAUCAUGCCCCUUAUGAUUUGGGCUACACACGUGCUACAAUGGACAAUACAAAGGGCAGCGAAACCGCGAGGUCAAGCAAAUCCCAUAAAGUUGUUCUCAGUUCGGAUUGUAGUCUGCAACUCGACUACAUGAAGCUGGAAUCGCUAGUAAUCGUAGGUCAGCAUGCUACGGUGAAUACGUUCCCGGGUCU